rnacentral:rRNA from 1 species
UACGGAGGGUGCAAGCGUUGCUCGGAAUCACUGGGCGUAAAGGGCGCGUAGGCGGGAUGGCAAGUCAGUCGUGAAAUCUCUCGGCUCAACCGAGAAACGUCGGCUGAUACUGCCGUUCUUGAGGGAUGCAGAGGAGACUGGAAUUCCCGGUGUAGCGGUGAAAUGUGUAGAGAUCGGGAGGAACACCGGUGGCGAAGGCGGGUCUCUGGGCAUUUCCUGACGCUGAGGCGCGAAAGCUAGGGGAGCAAACAGG